rnacentral:rRNA from 1 species
GCGUAUAUUAAAGUUGUUGCAGUUAAAAAGCUCGUAGUCGGAUGUCGGGCUCGGGCAGGCUGUCGGCUUCGGUCGGACGGCAGGCUCGGGUCUUUCUGCCUGAGGAUCCCGUGCACUUUAUUGUGGGCGGGGGACGCAGGCCGUUUACCUUGAAAAAAUUAGAGUGUUCAAAGCAGGCCUACGCUUGAAUACAUUAGCAUGGAAUAAUGGAAUAGGACUUUGGUGCUAUUUUGUUGGUUUAUGGGACCGAAGUAAUGAUUAACAGGGACAGUUGGGGCCGUUUAUAUUUCGUUGUCAGAGGUGAAAUUCUUGGAUUUACGAAAGAUAAACUUCUGCGAAAGCAUUCGGCAAGGAUGUUUUCAUUGAUCAAGAACGAAAGUUAGGGGAUCGAAGACGAUCAGAUACCGUCGUAGUCUUAACCAUAAACUAUGCCGACUAGGGAUCAGUGGAUGUCAAUUUGCGACUCCAUUGGCACCUUGUGAGAAAUCAAAGUUUUUGGGUUCCGGGGGGAGUAUGGUCGCAAGGCUGAAACUUAAAGGAAUUGAC